rnacentral:rRNA from 1 species
UACGGAGGGUGCAAGCGUUGUUCGGAAUUAUUGGGCGUAAAGGGCGCGUAGGCGGUGCCACAAGUCACCUGUGAAAUCCCCAGGCUUAACCUGGGAAGUGCGCGGAAAACUGGCGAGCUUGAGUGCCGGAGAGGGUCGCGGAAUUCCCGGUGUAGAGGUGAAAUUCGUAGAUAUCGGGAGGAACACCAGUGGCGAAGGCGGCGACCUGGACGGACACUGACGCUGAGACGCGAAAGCGUGGGGAGCAAACAGG